GACGAACGCUGGCGGCGUGCCUAACACAUGCAAGUCGAACGGAACUGUUUUGAAAGAUUUCUUCGGAAUGAAUUUGAUUUCGUUUAGUGGCGGACGGGUGAGUAACGCGUGAGUAACCUGCCUUCAAGAGGGGAAUAACAUUCUGAAAAGAAUGCUAAUACCGCAUGACAUAUCGGAACCACAUGGUUUUGUUAUCAAAGAUUUUAUCGCUUGAAGAUGGACUCGCGUCCGAUUAGUUAGUUGGUGAGGUAACGGCUCACCAAGACCGCGAUCGGUAGCCGGACUGAGAGGUUGAACGGCCACAUUGGGACUGAGACACGGCCCAGACUCCUACGGGAGGCAGCAGUGGGGGAUAUUGCGCAAGGGGGGCAACCCUGACGCAGCAACGCCGCGUGAAGGAUGAAGGUUUUCGGAUUGUAAACUUCUUUUAUUAAGGACGAAAAAUGACGGUACUUAAUGAAUAAGCUCCGGCUAACUACGUG
rnacentral:rRNA from 1 species